rnacentral:rRNA from 1 species
AAUCAACGCUGGCGGCGUGCCUAACACAUGCAAGUCGAACGAGAAAGUGGAGCAAUCCAUGAGUAAAGUGGCGACCGGGUGAGUAACACGUGACCAAUCUACCCUUGAGUGGGGGAUAACCUCGGGAAACCGGGGCUAAUACCGCAUAACAUCUUCGGAUCGGAAGAACUGGAGAUCAAAGGAGCAAUUCGCUUAAGGAGGAGGUCGCGGCUGAUUAGCUAGUUGGCGGGGAAUGGCCCACCAAGCUUAGAUCGGUAGCCGGCCUGAGAGGGCGCACGGCCACACUGGAACUGAAACACGGUCCAGACUCCUACGGGAGGGCAGCAGUGGGGAAUUUUGCGCAAUGGGGGAACCCUGACGCAGCAACGCCGCGUGGAGGAU